rnacentral:rRNA from 1 species
CAGAGGUGCCAAGCGUUAGGCGGAAUCACUGGGCUUAAAGCGCGUGUAGGCGGGUCGUUAAGUGUCUUGUGAAAUCCCACGGCUCAACCGUGGAACUGCUGGGCAUACUGACGAUCUUGAGGCACUCAGGGGCUGUCGGAACAAAUGGUGGAGCGGUGAAAUGCGUAGAUAUCAUUUGGAACGCCAACGGUGAAAACAGACAGCUGGGGGUGUCCUGACGCUGAGACGCGAAAGCCAGGGGAGCGAACGGGAUUAGAUACCCCGGUAGUCCUGGCCCUAAACGAUGUCCACUAGGCCGCGGCGGCUCUGACGCCGUCGCGGCCGGAGCAAAAGUGUUAAGUGGACCGCCUGGGAAGUACGGUCGCAAGGCUA